ACUCCUACGGGAGGCAGCAGUGGGGAAUAUUGGACAAUGGGCGCAAGCCUGAUCCAGCCAUGCCGCGUGAGUGAUGAAGGCCCUAGGGUUGUAAAGCUCUUUCACCGGUGAAGAUAAUGACGGUAACCGGAGAAGAAGCCCCGACUAACUUCGUGCCAGCAGCCGCGGUAAUACGAAGGGGGCUAGCGUUGUUCGGAUUUACUGGGCGUAAAGCGCACGUAGGCGGACUAUUAAGUCAGGGGUGAAAUCCCGGGGCUCAACCCCGGAACUGCCUUUGAUACUGGUAGUCUUGAGUUCGAGAGAGGUGAGUGGAAUUCCGAGUGUAGAGGUGAAAUUCGUAGAUAUUCGGAGGAACACCAGUGGCGAAGGCGGCUCACUGGCUCGAUACUGACGCUGAGGUGCGAAAGCGUGGGGAGCAAACAGGAUUAGAAACCCCUGUAGUCCCAUGA
rnacentral:rRNA from 1 species